AUUGAACGCUGGCGGCAGGCCUAACACAUGCAAGUCGAACGAGUGGCGGACGGGUGAGUAAUGUCUGUGAAACUGCCUGAUGGUGGGGGAUAACUACUGGAAACGGUUGCUAAUACCGCAUACCAUCGGAUGAGCCCAUAUGGGAUUAGCAAGUAGGUGGGGUAAAGGCUCACCAAGGCGACGCUCCCUAGCUGGUUUUAGAGGGGGACCAGCCACACUGGAACUGAGACAUGGUCCAGAGUCAUACGGGAGGCAGCAGUGGGGAAUAUUGCAAAAUGGGCGCAAGCCUGAUGCAGCCAUGACGCGUGUAUGAUGAAGGCCUUCGGGUUGUAAAGUACUUUCAGCGGGGAGUCGUUACCCGCAGAAGAAGCACCGGACAACUACGUGCCAGCAGCCGCGGUAAUAC
rnacentral:rRNA from 1 species